rnacentral:lncRNA from 1 species
AUAUUAAAUGGUUAUGAAUGCUCAGUAAAAUAAUAAAAAAACUAUCACAUAAGUGGUAAUUCGAGAUUCUCUUAUAAGCAUUAAAUGUCUGUUUACAUACUCAUGUACACAUAUUAUGUCUAACCUACGAUGUAUCAUGUAUAUAUGUAUGUAUGUAUUUAUGGAGGUGUAUACCUUCUAGCUUUGUACACAUACAUACAAGAUCAUUGUCUUUGGAAUGCUCAGUAAAAUAAUAAAAAAACUAUCACAUAAGUGGUAAUUCGAGAUUCUCUUAUAAGCAUUAAAUGUCUGUUUACAUACUCAUGUACACAUAUUAUGUCUAACCUACGAUGUAUCAUGUAUAUAUGUAUGUAUGUAUUUAUGGAGGUGUAUACCUUCUAGCUUUGUACACAUACAUACAAGAUCAUUGUCUUUGGAAUUCGUUUUUUUCAGUUUUGUGGUUCUGAAAAAGCUAUAAGGCAGAUAUAUAGC